rnacentral:lncRNA from 1 species
CGUUCCAGUCUCUAUCCUUAUUUUCUAUAAAGGUGGGAGAAUGAACUCUUAGUAGAAUAGGGUUGGCCAAGCCACCAUCUUUAAUGAUAACAAGAAGAGAGUAGAGUUGAAAAUCAGGACACAAGAUACCGUAGGUGUGCUGGGGAAGGCAGGAAAGAACCCCAAACACUGGAUGCUUAGAGGAAUUGGGCACAAGAGGCUUUCUGCUGUCUGCCUUUAGUUUGGCUGAGAAGUCUUCCAAGAAGAAGGCGAAUGACUGGUCCAAGGAGCUGGCUCCAGCUUCUUUGUGCAUUUAUAGAACUUCCACACCAGCAAAAGAAAGUGUUUACCCCAACCUAGUGAACUGAUGAGCUCAAAUCCCUCUCUCUUUCCAAAGGUUGCAUUCCCCUCCUUAGCUCCACAUUCCUUCCAGCCAGAUGACUCAUUUUUUCCACAACACAGACAGAAUGGCAAAUCGCACGCGGGGGUGUGACUCACGCAGAAUACAGGCAGACACCACAGCAAGAGGGCAGUUCAGGCACCCACUGAAAUCUAUCCAUCGAUCAUGGACCUCCAGUCAAGAAUUCCUGAUCCAAUAUGAAAGACCUCGAUUCCUUCUACAGUGUCCAGGGAAGUGUCCAACAGCCUCAGCCAGAAGAGAACUACAACCUCCUAAGGAAACCCAGUCCUUUCUGGAAUCAGUGCUAAAAUUAGGAAGUUUUAGUUUAUUUUUUGUUAUUUGCUUUUCCCCUAAAGUGAAACCUAAAUUUGCCUUUUUUGCAAUGUAA